AGUGAACGCUGGCGGUAGGCCUAACACAUGCAAGUCGAACGGCAGCACAGUAAGAGCUUGCUCUUACGGGUGGCGAGUGGCGGACGGGUGAGGAAUACAUCGGAAUCUACUUUUUCGUGGGGGAUAACGUAGGGAAACUUACGCUAAUACCGCAUACGACCUACGGGUGAAAGCAGGGGAACUUCGGACCUUGCGCGAUUGAAUGAGCCGAUGUCGGAUUAGCUAGUUGGCGGGGUAAAGGCCCACCCAGGCGACGAUCCGUAGCUGGUCUGAGAGGAUGGUCAGCCACACUGGAAGGGGGACGCGGUCCAGACUCCUACGGGAGGCAGCAGAGGGGAAUAUUGGGCAAUGGGCGCAAGCCUGAUCCAGCCAUACCGCGUGGGUGAAGAAGGCCUUCGGGUUGUAAAGCCCUUUUGUUGGGAAAGAAAAGCAGCAGGUUAAUACCCCGCUGUUCUGACGGUACCCAAAGAAUAAGCACCGGCUAACUUCGUG
rnacentral:rRNA from 1 species